rnacentral:tRNA from 1 species
AAUAUAGUGCCUGAUUAAAGGAUAGUUUUGAUGUGACUAAUAAUGUAUAACUUACCUAUAUUU